rnacentral:rRNA from 1 species
UAAGGAAUAUUGGUCAAUGGACGCAAGUCUGAACCAGCCAUGCCACGUGAAGGAUGAAGGUCCUCUGGAUUGUAAACUUCUUUUAUCUGGGACGAAAACGGGAUUUUUAUCUCAAUUGACGGUACCAGAGGAAUAAGCACCGGCUAACUCCGUGCCAGCAGCCGCGGUAAUACGGAGGGUGCGAGCGUUAUCCGGAUUUACUGGGUUUAAAGGGUGCGUAGGUGGGCUUAUAAGUCAGUGGUGAAAUCUCCGAGCUUAACUUGGAAACUGCCGUUGAUACUAUAGGUCUUGAAUUAUCUGGAGGUAAGCGGAAUAUGUCAUGUAGCGGUGAAAUGCUUAGAUAUGACAUAGAACACCAAUUGCGAAGGCAGCUUACUACAUAUAAAUUGACGCUGAGGCACGAAAGCGUGGGGAUCAAACA